GUAAAGGGUUAAGAAGUUCACUUAGCCUAGCUGACACCUGACCAGAGGAACCAAGGGGGGGACAAGAUUUUUCAAGAGGAAGGAGGAAUGUUCUUCCUUUGUUCAAUCCAUUACGUUCUGUGCUAGAGUGAAAAAGAUCAAGGAAUCACCCAAGACUCAGUGGUUGCAGGAGGGGAAGUACAGCCUGAUAAGGAGGCCCAAGGGAAGGUACUAGCUGGAUAGCCAAGAAUGAAGUUGAUCUCAUUGAAGCUGACAGUGAAGUGGAGAAGAGGAUCCAAAGAGUAAUUUAAGAUGACAAAAAGAAAAUUCCCCUCCCCCCAAAAUACAAAAAAAUAACCCCCUAAAACCCUAGCAUUCAACUUCAAAAAGUUAACAGUCAACCCGGCUGCUAUCUCAAUAAGGCAAGAAGAAAGUCAAAAUAUUGUCUCAUCAGAAUCCAGAGGAAACACUUACACACUCACUUGGGUAUCGUCAUAAAAACAGCCAGAACCAAGUAUGCAAGCAACAACGCUCCAAGCCCAGGAAAGCCUGGCUCACCAUCUACAGAAUGUACUGUAUGCUUUGUUCAGUGGUUAAAACAGAUUUCAAACAAGCUUUAACAAAGACAAGCCAACCGUCUGGUAGUGGAGAUUGAUUUAACAUGAGUUGGGGGAAGGGAUGAUUUUCAGUUUUCAAAUGUUUUCAUAACAUCGUAAUACACCUGGCUUAAUAGUCAUGUUUUGCUAUCAGGUUUUAACCUUACCAGACUCCUGUGGGUUGUUAUAUUUCUUAAUGUGUACCAAGUUAU